AAAUCACAUUAAGAGUAUAUGGCGGAUGCCUUGACAUAAGAGAACGAUGAAGGACGUAGCAGCCUGCGAUAAGCUUCGGUGAGGUGGCAAGCAACCCUUGACCCGAAGAUUUCCGAAUGGGGAAACCUCCCCGGUUGUAGACCGGGGGUCCGCUGGCUGAACACAUAAGCCAGUGAGACGAUUACCCGGUGAAUUGAAACAUCUUAGUAGCCGGAGGAAAAGAAAAAAAGCCUGAGCAAUCAGGAAUAUUCCGUGAGUAGUGGCGAGCGAAAACGGAGGAGUCUAAACCGAUUUAACCGCGUCGCGUGGUGCACUUGUGCAUUUUACGCGACAGAAGGAUUCAGGUCCAUAUGUUUUUUCGGUGUUGCAAGAAUAUGCUUUCAUUUCCUGUAUUAAAUGGGGCAGAGACAUAACAAUAACAUCCCUAGUUGAAGCGAGCUGGAAAGCUCCGCCAGAGAAGGUGAAAGCCCUGUAACAGCAAAAGGGGUUAUUGCUCUGCGGCAUAUCUCUUAAGUACUGCGGGACUCGUGAAAUCCCGUGGGAAGCCGGGUCGACUAUGACCCAAGACUAAAUAUCUCUUAUGAUCGAUAGUGAACAAGUACCGUGAGGGAAAGGUGAAANNAGUGAAAGCGAGGGUUAAUAGCCCGUAUCCACUUAUUUUGCAGAUACCAGGCCUUCUGGUGGCUGCAAAAUAACGUGGAAUGUCGCAUGGACAAGACCCGAAGCCGGGUGAUCUAGCCAUGGCCAGGUUGAAGUAGUACGAAAGUACUAUGGAGGACCGAACCCACAAGCCGUUCAAUACUUGGGGAUGAGCUGUGGCUGGCGGAGAAAUUCCAAUCGAACUCGGCAAUAGCUGGUUCUCCUCGAAAUA
rnacentral:rRNA from 1 species